rfam:Gossypium arboreum cultivar AKA8401 contig_195_7, whole genome shotgun sequence.
UAUUAAAAAUUCCAUCCAUUUCUACUGUUAAAAACUAAUGUGACUAAUAGAAUAAUUAGACAGCUACACAUGGCGUGCCAUGUGUGCCUUAUUUUGGUUUAUAGGGACCAGUUUUUAAAAGUAGGAAUUGAUGAUUUUUUUAACA